UACAAGCACUAAUUUUGCCGCUGUGUCAGUGAACGGGUUCUAUUUGAAAUAUUGACAUCGAGGAGAGUCGCAUGUGGGAGUGCUGUCUAAGCUUUUAUUUUAGAAAUGUCAGAAUAACAGAACCAAUGGAAUAAUUUAUCAUAAAAAUGUUCUGCAUGCUGGGUUUCAACAUACGAGGCAAUGUGGAAGAAGUGUGUUGUGUGCAAAUCAAGAAAAGAAACAGUCCCUCCAGCAAUUGUAUCAAAACUAUCAUGAACAUUUGAAGCCAAGACACAGCUGAAGCCAAG